rnacentral:rRNA from 1 species
CACAAAUCAACUGGUACGAACCCAUACAGGUUUGUGGUCCACACACAACCAUACAUCCACAUACAGAUAUUGAGAUGAUAUAGGUUUGUUCUUCAUUUUCCUUCCUUCCUUCCACUUGCAUUUUGCUCCUCGUUUUUCCUUCCUUCCACUUCCGUAUUGUUGAGCGCUCAUACUUCCCCGCUGCAAUUCCUCCCCUGCAACUGCAGCUGGUUCUUUUACCUUUACAUCAGGAGGAAGCAAUAACAUGGCGGAUGGGCCAAGCCGUGUGCUACUCCAUUCACUGGAAAGCAUGACAGAUAAUUUCUCUAAAGGCCGAUUACUUGGCAGUGGUUCGUACGGAAAAGUUUAUCUGGGGGAGCGGGAAGAUGGUCAAAAAAUUGCUGUAAAGAUUCUUCACGACAUGUCAGGACAUGACGAUGUGCAAUUUGAUAAGGAAUUUUACAAUCUUGUAAAUCUGCAACACCAGAACAUCGUGCAGUUAGUUGGUUAUUGCCAUGAAACCCGACGAGAAUACUUGCCGUACAACAAAACUAAGGUUCUUGCUGAGGUGACAAAGAGAGCGCUUUGCUUUGAGUUUGUGGAAAAUGGAAGCCUUAACAGCUAUCUCUUUGAUGAAUCUAAGGGACAUGGUUGGCGCACGCGCUACGCCAUAAUCAAGGGUAUUUGCAAUGGUUUGAAGUACCUUCACGAGGAAUUGAAGCCUCCUAUUUUUCAUUUGGAUCUAAAACCAGCCAACAUAUUGCUGGAUAAGAACAUGAUCCCGAAAAUUGCUGAUUUCGGAUUGUCCAGAUUCUUCAAGGAAGAAAAAUCUCAUAGCACUAACAGUCCUAUAGGAACACUUGGGUACUUACCACCGGAGUUUAUACAUCAUAGAAUAAUCUCAAAUAAACUGGAUAUAUUCAGCCUGGGAGUUGUAGUUAUAAAGAUAAUUGCAGGUCCUCCAGGGCACUGCAGAAGUGCUGAAAUGAGCUCUGAGCAAUUCAUUAAGAUUGUACAUGGGAAUUGGAUGAAUAGGCUACAAUCAGUGGUGUCAGGGAAUUAGUUGGAGUUGUAUUGUGAACAAGUAAAGAGAUGCGUCGAAAUUGCUUUAAGCUGUGUGGAGGCCGAUCGACAGAAAAGGCCAACUAUAGGGGAUAUUGUUAAUAUGCUAAGUGAGACGGAGACACUAGAAAAUGACAAGGGGCAUUGAUUGACCAGAUGAGCACUUGCAUGGUCAAGGACACUGAACUGAUAGAUGUCCAUCCCCUCCAGCUCCACUUCUCUUUCCGGCCGAAUAAGAUUAUCUCCUGCCCAUUUCAUGUAACUAACAACACCGAUGAUCAGCAUGUGUCUGUUAGGUGUGUCCCAAGACUCCCAGGGGCAGACCGUUAUUACGCAUAUCUGGGACACGUAUGCAGUGUUGUGCCACCAAGGUCCACACACACCAUCGUUGUAACGAUGAGACAACUACAGCAGCCGCCGGACAACAUGGACAUGCUUGACAUAGUCGUAGAGACUAUCCUAGGGAAAGAUUAUCAGUCUGAGACGAAUUUUAAGGAUGCUAGAAAGGAAAACAGCCGUGGAUUUCGUGAGGUGACCCUAAAGGCCGUCUGUGCAACAAUGUGUGAGAAGACGACAUCUGAGGUCAUAUUUCGUUGUGAUUAUAACGGUAUGCUAGAGUCAAUGGAUGUGCACCCUACAGAGCCUUGGAUUUUGGCAGCCUAUAAGGCACGGCUUGUCAUUUGGAACUACAAGACCCAGGCAAAAAUGAUGGAGCGUGAAUUCUACCCUGGGUUGGCUCAUUCCCUCAGAAGGCUUAGCGCCUCCUACGAUGGGUACGUUACUUCCGUCAGGUUCAUUGUGCAGUCGAAGGAGCAAUUGUUCGUGGUGGGUGAUACCGACGGGUACAUCCACGUGCAUGACUCUAUGACAAUGAAGAGAGUCAAGGAAUUCAAAGCUCACGGCGGUUGGGUCACAUCAUUCGCCGUUCAGCCGACCCAACCGUUUGUACUGUCGGCAUCUCACGACCAACAGAUCAAGCUUUGGAACUGGGAGAAGGGCUGGGUGUGCAUUCGGACAUUCACUGGGCACUCGGACUGGGUGAGGCAAGUCAAGUUUAAUCCGCAUGAUGCCAACACUUUUGCCAGUGCUUCCUGGGACGGCACAGUGAAGAUCUGGAGAAUUUUUUCUCCCACUCAUUUCACCAGCCUCAACUGUGAAGACAAACUGCUGCGCUGUUUUGAUUACUAUCCCACGGGUGGUGAUCAGCAGCACUACAUGGUUACAGGAUCAUACCGUGGGACGGCACGGAUCUGGGAUAUGCGAACACAGACAUGCAUCCAUGAAAUCAAGGGGCUCGGACAAUACUGUAUGGUUGGUGUGAUCGAUUGCCACCCAGAUCGUCCAGCAGUGUUGAUUACCGCGUCAAAGGGCGAUGGUGUUUAUCUCCACGACUCCAGAACCUACAGGUGUGAAAGAAUGGUUAAUUUCGGUCUCGGCGAGGUUGUAUGUUUUGCAUACAUCAAGGCCACAAGAAGCCUCGCCAUUGGACAUAAGUACGGAGUUGCAAUCGUGGAAAUCGAUAGAUUUUCUAAGGAAGUCCCGCCACCUGCAAGGUAAUUGAGGAAUGGAGUUAAAUAAAGCUUGAAAGAUGGAGCAUGAAUUGCGUGAUUGAGUUAUGCCAAUGUAAAUUUGGUGCAGAGAUUGUUCUCAGUGGGGUUAUUCAGUUAUGUGAUUAGCGUUGUUUGUUUGUACUGUAUAAGUACUUUUUUUUUGCUGUGUGCAUAGGAGCAUGUUUUGAUCUGUGAAACAUCGGUUCCCUCAAAAUUUACAUUUCUUCACGAGUUACUGAUUUUAAAUAUGUUAUGAACUUUGCGCAUUUCUUCAUGAGUUUCUGAUUUUUAAUUUGAUAUCAACUUUGUGCUUUCCUGCGGAUCCUAUUCCCCGUGUAAUGCAAGGAAUGUGUACCAAACGCGGACACCCUGUCCCCUCUCUGUAGCUG